AAUGAACGUUGGCGGCGUGGAUUAGGCAUGCAAGUCGAGCGCUCAUCAGCAAUGGUGGGAGCGGCGAACGGCGUAGUAAUGCAUCGGAACGUACCCUCUGGACGGGGAUAGCCACGGGAAACUGUGGGUAAUACCCCGAUAAUCUCUGCGGAGCAAAGGUGUGAUUCCGCCGGAGGAGCGGCUGAUGUGAUAUUAGCUAGUUGGUGGGGUAAAGGCCUACCAAGGCGAUGAUGUCUAGGGGGUGUGAGAGCAUGGCCCCCCACGACCGGAACUGAGAUACUGUCCGGACACCUACGGGUGGCUGCAGUCGAGAAUCUUCCGCAAUGGACGAAGUCUGACGGAGCGACGCCGCGUGCGGGAUGAAGGCCCUUGGGUUGUAAACCGCUGUCAGAGGGGAUGAAAUCGGUCGGGGGUACUCCCCCGAUGUUGACAGAGCCUCAAAGGAAGCACGGGCUAAGUACGUGCCAGCAGCCGACGGUAAAGUGACUACUG
rnacentral:rRNA from 1 species